AACAGCAGCUCAACCUGGAGCUGGGCUGCGCACAGCAUUUCCAUUUGCCAAAGUCUUCAGCUAUUUCUGAAGCUGCCCAAAUGAUGCCCCAAGGAGCUGGCCAUCAUUACCUCCAGGUCCCAGGUGGUGCGUCUGGGAGGGGGAUUUUUGGACACGGACAGAUGAUCACAGAGAACACCAUGUGAAGAUGGAGGAUUGGAGUAAUGGAUCUACAAGCCAAGGGAGGUCAAAGAUUGCUGACAAAUCACCAGACGCUAGAAAGAAGCAAGGAAGCAUCCUUCUACAGGAGUCAGAGGGCGCACAACCCUGCCUUCAUCUUGAUUUCAAACCUCCAGCUUCCAGCUCUGUGAGACAACACAUUUCUAUUGUUCUGAGACACCCAGUUUAUGGCACUUUUAUACUAGCCUGGAAAAUUAACUCAUGCAAAUAUUCAAAGCAAUUAUUUAUGUAAAGCCCAUAGAGGGUCCUCAAUAAAUUCAAGUUCUCUUCUUCAAAGAAAAGGAUUUAUACACUGGAAAGCAGACAAAUACUGCUCACUUUCUCUCUUAAAACUCCACUAUGGUCUGACCACAUGGCAGAUAUGGGCCUCUGAAUCUAAUAGAGCAGCCUUAAAUUCUACAGAUCAGUGCCAGAGAUUAUCUGGUUUCCUCGGGGAUCUCUGGGUGAGAAAGGCCUGAGGACUGAGCCAAAAUUCCUAGGUCUGAACUGGAGCAGAGGAACUCCUGACUAGAACAUAAACUGCCCUUGGUUGGGAAGAGCUGGGAUGCUUUUCUCCAAAGGACACUGAGACAUACUGUCAGGCCAAACCUAACUCCUACACUCUGGGUUCCACCCACCCCAUAGCUGGAGACUCUCCAGGCUUACCCACAGACUCAGCCUUUGCCAAGGUCUUGGCCCUAUAACCUUAAAGAAGCACCUGCUUUGAGGGGCCGUUGGCUGCACUGGUUGAAUAUGGACCCUGGAUCUGGAUUGCUUGGGUUUAAUCCCAAUUCUGCUACUUGCUGUGUAUCCUUGCGCAAGUUACUCUCUAAGCCUCAGUUUCCUCCUCUAAAAAAUGGGUACAAUGAUAAUAGUACCUACCCGUUGGGCUUAUUGUAAGGAUUAGUUGACACAGCUAAAGCAUAUAGAUUGGUGUCAGCUAUGUGGUCAGUACUAUAUAAGUGUGUGCUAUUAUUGCUCCUACUGUUGUCAUUAAGAUCUGAUCCCUGCCUGCUCUCCAGUAUUGGCAGCUAGUUCCUAACCCUAGGCCUGAAGCCCUGGUCUUGAUAGCUUGCCUAGUAUUUAGUUUUUCUAGAACUAGGACCUAGACUAGACUCUUUCUACAAUCUCAACCCAUUGUCCUGGGAACGAACCCAAUGCCUGUGGCCCUGCUGUCUCCCCAAAGACAUCUCUGAUGUUACCCACCUGCCAGGAAGUUGACAUGCUUUGAAUUCUCUAAUCCUGGGCUCCUCCCUCUCAUGGUGUCAUCUGGUGAUACGCUGUUAACCCCUCCAGUGAUGGCAAAUGGUUGGGCUGUUAUUUGCCACCUGCCAGCCAGAACAGACUUGCUUCAUAGCUCAGCAGCUGGACUGCCCCCUGAAAAAUCUGCCCAGACACCCACAAGCAGGCUGGAUGCCUCCUGCUUGCUCUAACUUCCUGCGGUAAAUGGAGUCAUGUCUAAAUUGAGACUGGGUGUUUCCACACCCCACCAAAAUGGAGUAUAUUCGCUUUGACCACAAAGCUUCUAAAACAUUAAAAAUAUGUGGGGGCUACAUGGGCACUUGACAAUGUCUAUUUAGUAAUGACAACCCCAUCAUUCCCAAGGUAUUACAUUGGAUUGUACCAAAUCAUAAGAUUAAACAGAAUAGGAAGGUCAACAUUUGUAAGACUUUAUAAAAGUUUCAUUUUGCAAUAGUCAUUCUUUCUAACGGCUUCAAUUGGUGGCAUUUAGAAGAAACAAAAAAACAUCAACAACAAAAGUCGAAAGAUCAAUCUUUCUGAUCCUCAUUUCCUCAGAAUGACUCUACCUAUAAAGUAUUAAUUAGUUAAGUUCUACAAAUUGAGA